AUGUUUAUGUGUUAAAGAGUCAAAUGACCCAAUUAAUAAAUAGGAUAAGGAAUCUAAACCAAUUUUCAAUAGAGUAAAUAAAGAUGGUUAAGAAAUACCUCAAAAAGAAUUCAUCUGUUUGUCACAAUUAGAAAAAUGGAAAUGGAAAUGGUUUUGAGAGGUCAUCUCAUCCUGGUCAGAACAACUAAGGUCAACAGAACAACUGGCAAGCGAUGCAGCUGAGUCUGUGAGGAAGGAGCCUCGCCCCCUGUGAGGAAGGAGCCUCGCUCACUGUUGGGGGGUUUAAACUAGUGCAGUCACUCUGAUAAUCAACAUGGAGAAUCCUCAAAGAAUAUAUCUACAUAAGACCCACCUAGACCAUUCCUUGUCACAUGCUCCAAAAGAACUCCACAUCUUACUCCACAGACACUUGCUCAGCCGUGGUCAUAGCUGCUCUAUUCACAAUAGCCAAGACAUGGAAACACCCUAAAUAUCCUUCAGCAGCUGUCUUCAGACACACCAGAAGAGGGCGUCAGAUCUCGUUACGGAUGGUUGUGAGCCACCAUGUGGUUGCUGGGAUUUGAACUCUGGACCUUUGGAAGAGCAGUCGGGUACUCUUACCCACUGAGCCAUCUCACCAGCCCGCACCUUCAAUUUUUAAGAAGCUUUUAAAUGUACAGGCUGGUUUCAGGACACUGCUCUCUUUCAAAGUUCUUCUGGCCCUGUUAAUUCCUCAAAGGUACGCACUGUACACUGGUUUCAUGUGCAAGCUCUUGGCCCAGAGAGAGAAAAUGUGCCUUAGUUCCAUGCUGUAGAGACACGAAGAGUGUUCUACCACAUUCCCAUGGAAAUGGCCAGUGCCAUAAUGAGAAAAUGGGAAAAGCAGGGAUCGAUGGAGGAACUAAAGGCGUGGCCCAGGCACAUCAGAAAAUUUAAAACCUUGGAAGCGCACAAAGGAAGAAAAUACUUUUUAGAGACCCAGCAUCAAGAAUUCCCUUUGACUUCUCAUCUCAGACCAGGUGAAGACAGUGAUGACGGUCCUAACCAGGAACAGAAGAGAGGACAUGCCAGGCAUGGUGGGCACAGCUGCCGCAGCCGGCAGGCAAAGACAAGGACAUCACAUAAGAAGAGUUGGGCGGAUGAUUCUGAGCUUAGCAUCUUCUGUGUAAUGCAGCCAAGAAUCAGCCAAGCUGUGCUCAAUACCAGCUCCUCUCUUACUGUUGGGAAGUGUUCUGUUGUCAGCUGCACUGAAUGCUUUUAUCCAUCCAUCUUCUGUACAAUUUGGGGGUUGUUUCUGGUCUGUGGCCACAGUAGAAAUUUUUAGAAACCCCUUUUCAGGAACCAAUAGAAUACAAGAUCCAAUCCAGUUAACAAUUUAGAAGGUUUAGACUUCUUUAGCCAGCCCCACCCUGUUGGUGUGUAUGGAUUACUCAUGCUUUGCAAGGGCAUGCAGGGCAUUUCCUAAAAAUAGACUACACCCUAAGCUCUAAAUAACGCAAGAACAAGCCCAGCAUGGUGGAGCAGGCCUGUUAAUCUCAGCGCCUGGGCACUGAGGCAGUUGGGAUGGAAGUCUCCAAUCACCCUGGGCUAGAUAGAGCCUGUGCCCAUAGUGCCAACUACUCUGAGAAUAAGGUGAAGGUCUGCUUGAGCUCAGGAGUUCUAGAUCAGCUACAGCAGUGUAGAAAGAUCCCACAAUUAACACAGAAACCCACAGCUAGAUAACAUGUAGAGAGUGAGAGACUUUGGAGCACUCAACCCUAAAUGGGAUUUAUUUAUUU